GCCUGGCUGGCUCAGUCGGUAGAACAUGUGACUCUUAAUCUCAGGGUCAUGAGUUCCAGCCUCAUGCUGGGCA
rnacentral:tRNA from 2 species